AUGAAAUGGCUCUUGGUAAGCCCAACAUUCCACAUUUGCCACCCAUAUUUUCAUGUGAAAAUCUUCAAUUCAAGUGUUGUAAUUUAAAAGAAUUAAUCUUUCAUCGAAUGUUAUUUCAUUUCAACGAGAAUUAAAUUCAGAACAUGAAUGAACUCAAUUUAUUCAAAUUUGACAUUUUGACGUUAUAACAAAUAGAUUGACUUUUCAUCUCAAGUCGUAUUGACGAAGGCAAUGAUCCAAUAUGGAAGAACAAAUGAAUAUAAGGCGGCAAAUUAGAGAUAAUCCAAAGGUGAGAGAGCCCUCAGCCACCAUACAGUUGAGGAGAGAAAUCCAAAAUUGUUUGAAAUUUCAAGAGGGAUUAAUUUAAUCUUAAUUACUAUUUAAUCGGAUAAUCCAUGCAAUUGCAAUUAACGAAACGAGGGUCCAAAUCCAAUCCAUAAUCACCAUCAUCAUCAAUUAAUAUAAUCAUCCCUCCCCCCCCCCCCCCAAAAGGAGUCCCUUCAGCUUCAAACUCCACACCUUUCAAAGCUCACUCCUUGAACGUCGCCGUUUCCAUCGUCCCCGGUCGCUUCUCAGCUCCAGCAGUCCCUAAUCGCUUUCAAGUUUACCUCAAUCCUUUCUGGGGUCGAUCGGUUUUUGAAUAUUAGUCAACGGUUCCCCUUUGCGGCUUAAGAAGGAAUCGUGUUUCUUGUUGCAUGAGGAACCCAGUAUUUUCCAUUAAGGGUUUUGAAAAAGUAAUCAAGGAGCUAAAGAAACUGAAAUUGCCACUCCGGUGGAGGAGGGGGGUUCACUAUUGUCUAAAGUUAAUUCUUUAGGCAAAGUUAAUUCCUUUGCUUUGAAAGUGAAGCUGUUAUCGUCAUUGAUAGUUUUAAGAUUUUCUAGGAAAUGAUUUGGACUUACCCCUCCACUUUUUCUGAGAUGAAAUUUCAAAGAGGAAAUGGAUAUGUGUAGAUUUUUAAGCCUAUUGCUUGGUUGAGGAAACGGAAUUGUUAAUUUGUCCACAUCUAUGGUGCCAAAUAGUUUUAG